GCAUAUCAAUAAGCGGAGGAAAAGAAACUAACAAGGAUUCCCCUAGUAACGGCGAGUGAAGCGGGAUGAGCUCAAAUUUGAAAUCUGGCAGCCUCCGGUUGUCCGAGUUGUAAACUAGAGAAGCGUUUUCCGUGCCGGCCUGUGUACAAGUCCCUUGGAAUAGGGCGUCAUAGAGGGUGAGAAUCCCGUCCUUGACACAGACCACCGGUGCUAUGUGAUACGCUCUCGACGAGUCGAGUUGUUUGGGAAUGCAGCUCAAAUUGGGUGGUAAAUUCCAUCUAAGGCUAAAUAUUGGCGAGAGACCGAUAGCGAACAAGUACCGUGAGGGAAAGAUGAAAAGCACUUUGGAAAGAGAGUUAAACAGUACGUGAAAUUGUUGAAAGGGAAACGAUUGAAGUCAGUCAUGCGUGCUCGGACUCAGCUGGGUUCGUCCCAGUCUAUUUCCGGGUGCCGCAGGUCAGCAUCAGUUUCGGGCGGUGGAAAACGGGCGGGGGAAGGUGGCAUCUCCGGAUGUGUUAUAGCCCCCGUUUGGAUGCAUCGCGUGGGACUGAGGAACGCAGCGCGCCUCUUUACGGGGUCGGUCUCCGGACACGAACGCGCUUAGGAUGCUGGCAUAAUGGCUUUAAACGACCCGUCUUGAAACACGGACCAAGGAGUCUAACAUGUGUGCGAGUAUUUGGGUGGCAAACCCGAGUGCGGAAUGAAAGUAAAUGCAGGUGGGAUCCGCAAGGAGCACCAUCGACCGAUCUGGAUCUUUUGUGAUGGAUUUGAGUAAGAGCAUAUAUGUUGGGACCCGAAAGAUGGUGAACUAUGCCUGAAUAGGGCGAAGCCAGAGGAAACUCUGGUGGAGGCUCGUAGCGAUUCUGACGUGCAAAUCGAUCGUCAAAUUUGGGUAUAGGGGCGAAAGACUAAUCGAACCAUCUAGUAGCUGGUUCCUGC
rnacentral:rRNA from 1 species